ensembl:lncRNA
AGAGGGAAGAGAGAGGAGAGGGAGUAGAGAGGAGAGGGAGUAGAGAGGAGAGGGAAGAGAGAGUAGAGAGGAGAGGGAAGAGAAUAGAGAGGAGAGGGAGUAGAGAGCAGAGGGAAGAGAGAGGAUAGACAAGGGAAGUGAGUGAGGAGAGAGAGGAAACAGAGAAGACUAAAGAGGAGAGGGAAGAGACUGAAGAAGAAAGAGGAGGGUGUGGACAGAGCUGAGUAAAAAGAGAGAGGAAGAUAGAUGUGAUUUUAAGGUUCUGAGGUGAAACUUUAGCAGUAAGGAAAUGUCCACCUUGUAAGACCUGAUAGUGAUCAAAUUAAGAUCCUACAUCUGUACUCUGGCACAAAGUACAUUUCAGUAGAAACAGAAAUACUCAGCACAAAUUGAACUUUCUGCUGCCAGAAUACACAAUGUUAAAUAUAGGAGUUCUAUGUUGAAUUGAUUGAGAAAAUUGACUUCAAUACCACAUACAGAUGUAUGAUCUUAAUUUCAUCACCCUGUUGCAGGAUAACUUUUUUGAGGGUUAAAAAGGCUUCUGAAGUUUGUAAUUUCCACUUCGGACUUUCAGACUUCAUACUCCCUUCUGAAAAACAUAUCAACCCCUACAAAAACAUCCAUUAAUUACAAUCCACAUAAUAAUUCACAUUUCCUGUUGCUGCAGGAUUAUUUUCCUACUGUAGCAAACUGGAUCAAAUUAAGAUCCUACAUCAGUACAGUCAUUUUGAACUCUCCUGCUGAUGUAACCUUAAACCUAACCUUUCUUGAUGUAACCUGAUAUAACGUUUAAUGUCCAAUGUUUGCUGUCUACAUGAAGUGAAUUGUAAAUUGUGGUAGUAGCAGUAGUAUAAUUAGUAGUAGUAGUCAAAGUGGUUGAGUAUUUACAUGUUGGUUUGUUUAUUACGGUAUAGAUCAUGUUCUGCUUCUCUGCUUCUUUUCCUAUUUCUACAAAUAAAGAAACAUUAACUUGAAAAGCUUCUAACAGUAGAUGACAAUCUACUAGGAACAGUUCAAUCAAAGCUAACAGAUCUUUGACAGUCAUAUACAUUACACUGAGUGGACAAAACAUGAAGAAAAUGUUUCUAAAAUUAAGUUGCACCUGCCCACCCUUCAAAUCAUAUCAAAUUGUAUUGGUCACACAGAUAUUUAGCAGAUGUUAUUGCGGGUGGAGCGAAAAGCUAGCUCCAACAGUGCAGUAAUAUCUAACAAUUCACCACAAUGCACACUAAUCUAAAAGUAAAAGAAUGGAAAUAAGAAAUAUAUAAAUAUUAGGACGAGCAAUGUCGGAGUGGCAUUAACUAGAAUACAGUAGAAUACAGUAUGUAUAUCUGACAUGAGUAAAACAGUAUGUGAACAUUAUUAAAGUGACCAGUGUUCCAUUAUUAAAGUGACCAGUGUUCCAUUAUUAAAGUGACCAGUGUUCCAUUAUUAAAGUGACCAGUGUUCCAUUAUUAAAGUGACCCGUGUUCCAUUAUUAAAGUGACCAGUGUUCCAUUAUUAAAGGGACCAGUGUUCCAUUAUUAAAGUGACCAGUGUUCCAUUAUUAAAGGGACC